AGAGUUUGAUCCUGGCUCACGAUAAACGCUGGCGGCGCACAUAAGACAUGCAAGUCGAACGGAAGUCGUUAUAAAAGGAGAGAAGAUUUGUCGGAUUGAAUUUUAUAACAAUGGCUUUAGUGGCGGACUGGUGAGUAACGCGUAAGGAACCUACCUAUUAGAGGGGAACAACAAUGAGAAAUCAUUGCUAAUACCGCAUAUGCCAUAACUACCGCAUGGUAGAAGUGGGAAAGGAGUAAUCCGCUGAUAGAUGGCCUUGCGUCUGAUUAGUUAGUUGGUGGGGUAACGGCCUACCAAGACGACGAUCAGUAGCCGGACUGAGAGGUUGAACGGCCACAUUGGGACUGAGAUACGGCCCAGACUCCUACGGGAGGCAGCAGUCGGGAAUAUUGCGCAAUGGAGGAAACUCUGACGCAGUGACGCCGCGUGCAGGAAGAAGGUUUUCGGAUUGUAAACUGCUUUAGACAGGGAAGAUAGUGACGGUACCUGACUAAGAAGCCCCGGCUAACUACGUGCCAGCAGCCGCGGUAAUACGUAGGGGGCAAGCGUUAUCCGGAUUUACUGGGUGUAAAGGGAGCGUAGACGGCUGUGCAAGUCUGAAGUGAAAGGCAUGGGCUCAACCUGUGGACUGCUUUGGAAACUGUGCAGCUAGAGUGUCGGAGAGGUAAGUGGAAUUCCUAGUGUAGCGGUGAAAUGCGUAGAUAUUAGGAGGAACACCAGUGGCGAAGGCGGCUUACUGGACGAUGACUGACGUUGAGGCUCGAAAGCGUGGGGAGCAAACAGGAUUAGAUACCCUGGUAGUCCACGCCGUAAACGAUGA
rnacentral:rRNA from 1 species